rnacentral:rRNA from 1 species
UACGUAGGGUGCAGGCGUUAAUCGGAAUUACUGGGCGUAAAGCGCACGUAGGCGGCUUGGUAUGUCGGGUGUGAAAUCCCCGGGCUCAACCUGGGAACUGCAUCCGAAACUGCCUUGCUCGAGUAUGGGAGAGGGAAGUGGAAUUUCCGGUGUAGCGGUGAAAUGCGUAGAUAUCGGAAGGAACAUCAGUGGCGAAGGCGACUUCCUGGACCAAUACUGACGCUCAGGUGCGAAAGCGUGGGGAGCAAACAGGG